GAUGAACGCUGGCGGCGUGCCUAAUACAUGCAAGUCGAGCGAACAGAUAAGGAGCUUGCUCCUUUGACGUUAGCGGCGGACGGGUGAGUAACACGUGGGUAACCUACCUAUAAGACUGGGAUAACUUCGGGAAACCGGAGCUAAUACCGGAUAACAUUUGGAACCGCAUGGUUCUAAAGUGAAAGAUGGUUUUGCUAUCACUUAUAGAUGGACCCGCGCCGUAUUAGCUAGUUGGUAAGGUAACGGCUUACCAAGGCGACGAUACGUAGCCGACCUGAGAGGGUGAUCGGCCACACUGGAACUGAGACACGGUCCAGACUCCUACGGGAGGCAGCAGUAGGGAAUCUUCCGCAAUGGGCGAAAGCCUGACGGAGCACCGCCGCGUGAGUGAUGAAGGGUUUCGGCUCGUAAAACUCUGUUAUUAGGGAAGAACAAAUGUGUAAGUAACUGUGCACGUCUUGACGGUACCUAAUCAGAAAGCCACGGCUAACUACGUG
rnacentral:rRNA from 1 species